CAUUGAAAAUUCUGAACUCCUUCAUCCAUCUGUGUAAAGCACUAAAGCAAAACAAAAUGGUACCAUCUGCAGAGGAUUCUCAAGUGAACUCCUGCAAGAAAAACGAGUGCACAGAAAUGGAUCAAGCUCUCUGGAGAAGCACUUGGGAAAUCAUUAAAUGGCAACCUUUAAAGCCUGGAAAUCAUGCUUUAGCCAUACAGACUACCCUCAGGCAAAUGGUUGCUCUCUGAUGAGCAGAACUUUUGCUUGUUGCACAUGAAAAAGAGAUCACAAUAGCUUUAACUUUCUUCUCUCUGCAGGAUGUGACCUCUAAGUCAUGUGAGGAUCUGGAGGUUACUCCAGUAUCUGUGUGUUCAUAUGCUUUAAACUAUGGUUUUUACUUUUCUGUCAGUCAUACCACAAUUAGGCAACAUGGUAUGCUUCGUAAACUCAGCAGGAACCUUUUUAUCUUUGAACUGUAGUAACAGCAAAGAAAUAAACACUAAGGGUUUGAUAGGGAUUCUUAUAUC
rnacentral:lncRNA from 1 species